UUUUUUUUUUUUUUUUAUUUUUUUUUUUUUUUUUGUGUUGUACUUGGUGUAAUAAAAGUCUUCAAAAAUAAAGAAGUUUGCUUUACUGUUCAUCUAUCAAACUACUACUACUACUACUACGUGCUCCAUCUAUUUCUUUUAUUACAUGAAACUGCUCAUAUCGGUGCGAUCUUAAGCGAAAGGUCUCGACGUUAAGUAUAUAGUGAACGUACAAAAAAAAAAAAAAAAAAAAAAAAA